CCGGCGCACGGGUGGGUAACACGUAUCCAACCUGCCGUCUACUCUUGGACAGCCUUCUGAAAGGAAGAUUAAUACAAGAUGGCAUCAUGAGUCCGCAUGUUCACAUGAUUAAAGGUAUUCCGGUAGACGAUGGGGAUGCGUUCCAUUAGAUAGUAGGCGGGGUAACGGCCCACCUAGUCUUCGAUGGAUAGGGGUUCUGAGAGGAAGGUCCCCCACAUUGGUACUGAGACACGGACCAA
rnacentral:rRNA from 1 species